AUGGGGAACCCUGGUGCAUUUCAUCAUUCCAUUACCCUACAAUCCUUCACUGUCUUCUCCCUUGUUGCUGUUUUUGUAGCAGAUCAUCAUGUCCAGGGAGGAGAUGAUGGAUGCUCACUUUUCUCCUGUGGACAUCUCCGAGACAUAUCAUAUCCUUUCCGUCGGCGAGGUGAUCCUCGUGAGUGCGGUGUUGAAGAAUACGAGCUGGGUUGCACCAGUAGCAAGGCUACGAUUCGCAUCAACACAGGAACAUACUAUGUGACUGCCAUCAACUACACUGGUUCCUACUUCUGGGUCAUGGAUCCUAACUUCAAUACCAGUAGCAGCUGCCCUCAUCCACUGUGGAAUCAUGUUCCUUACGUUGCAGACUACGGAAUUGGUUCAAUUUCACCACAUGGCUUUCGGUAUUUGGCCACUCAAAGUUAUGACAGAGCAUGUUUUGCUAAUUGUUCAAGAGCAGUAAUGAAUAAAAGUGCAUACAAGCCUGUUGCUUGCCAGAGUGCCAAAAAUUCACAUGUUUAUGUCUGGGUGUCUAAUUACGCACAUUGUGCGGUUGAAGAUCUUGAACCUUACUGUGGAUACCUGGGAGAGAUUCCAUUUGGUGACGAGUACUCCUCUGAUUGGGGACAGCUACAGAAUGCAAGUUAUGCAGAUAUCACACAAUUCAUAAGUAAGGGGUUUACUGUCAAAUUUCCUGUGGAUGCCAAUGCCAGGAAGGCUUCUGUCUUUAGGACCAUCAAUUUAUGCCGCAACAAUACAAUCAGCUACUUCAAGGAGCAAAUAUCUGAUGCAAGCAUCGUGAGUUGGACUCGUGCUUUCUUCUGGAGUGAGAUGCACUUCUAUCAAUGUGUGACUUAUAAAUCCAACAAUCCCUACUAUACAACACAAUCAAUUUUGGUUGUUAUAGCCAUAUUAUCUGCUAUUGCUAUCCCCAAGUUCCUUUUCGUACUAUGCAGGUUCUUGUUGGCACUCCUGGCUGUGUGGAUAUUCCUAGCCUACAAGUACAUGAAAACAAGGAUCAUAAUUGAUGCAGUUGAGAAGUUCCUCAGGAUUCAACAAAUGAUUGGCCCCAUGAGGUACUCCUACACAGAUAUAGUUGCAGUCACAAGCCAUUUCAGAGAUAAAUUGGGCCAAGGGGGCUACGGCUCCGUGUACAAGGGCGUGCUACUUCCAGGUGAUGUCCAUGUUGCUGUGAAGAUGCUAGAGGGCAACUCAAACUGCAAUGGAGAAGAUUUCAUUAGCGAGGUUUCCACCAUCGGCAGGAUCCACCACAUCAACGUGGUGCGUUUAGUGGGGUUCUGCUCGGAGGAAAUGAGAAGGGCCCUAGUCUACGAGUACAUGCCCCAUGGUUCUCUGGACAAGUACAUCUUCUCUGUUGAGAAGAGCUUCUCUUGGGACAAGCUCAACGAGAUCGCUCUAGGCAUUGCCAGGGGGGUCAACUACCUACACCAGGGGUGCGACAUGCAGAUUCUGCACUUUGACAUCAAGCCGCACAACAUCCUUCUCGACAGCAAUUUCGUCCCAAAGGUCGCCGAUUUCGGGCUCGCCAAACUGUACCCGAGGGGCGACAGUUUCGUGCCACUGAGCGCCAUGCGGGGAACCGUCGGUUACAUAGCACCUGAGAUGAUAUCCCGGAGCUUCGGCGUCAUAUCCAGCAAGUCCGAUGUGUACAGCUUCGGGAUGUUGCUGCUGGAGAUGGCCGGUGGGAGAAGAAAUGCUGAUCCAAACAUGGGGUCCUCAAGCCAGGCGUACUACCCUUCAUGGGUGUACGACCGGCUGACUCGGGAAGAAGCAGGCGAGAUAUCUGUUGUUGCUGCUGACAUGCAUGAGCUGGAGAAGAAGCUAUGCAUUGUCGGAUUGUGGUGUAUUCAGAUGAGAUCUCGUGAUCGGCCGACGAUGAGCGAGGUCAUCGAGAUCCUGGAGGCUGGGGCUGACGGCCUACAGAUGCCUUCGAGGCCGUUUUUCUGCGACGAAGGGCACAUCCAUGUGGAGGACUCUUACCAGUUCGCUUCCGAGCUGUCGGCGGUCUCGGAGGAGGAAUUGAGUGUGGUGUCAGAGGAAGACGACGUGUGA
rnacentral:rRNA from 1 species